rnacentral:piRNA from 1 species
UCAGUGUCGAAAAUAGCUUGUUCUUGUGU